GAUGAACGCUGGCGGCGUGCCUAAUACAUGCAAGUCGAGCGAACGGACGAGAAGCUUGCUUUUCUGAUGUUAGCGGCGGACGGGUGAGUAACACGUGGAUAACCUACCUAUAAGACUGGGAUAACUUCGGGAAACCGGAGCUAAUACCGGAUAAUAUUUUGAACCGCAUGGUUCAAAAGUGAAAGACGGUCUUGCUGUCACUUAUAGAUGGAUCCGCGCUGCAUUAGCUAGUUGGUAAGGUAACGGCUUACCAAGGCAACGAUGCAUAGCCGACCUGAGAGGGUGAUCGGCCACACUGGAACUGAGACACGGUCCAGACUCCUACGGGAGGCAGCAGUAGGGAAUCUUCCGCAAUGGGCGAAAGCCUGACGGAGCAACGCCGCGUGAGUGAUGAAGGUCUUCGAAUCGUAAAACUCUGUUAUUAGGGAAGAACAUAUGUGUAAGUAACUGUGCACAUCUUGACGGUACCUAAUCAGAAAGCCACGGCUAACUACGUGCCAGCAGCCGCGGUAAUACGUAGGUGGCAAGCGUUAUCCGGAAUUAUUGGGCGUAAAGCGCGCGUAGGCGGUUUUUUAAGUCUGAUGUGAAAGCCCACGGCUCAACCGUGGAGGGUCAUUGGAAACUGGAAAACUUGAGUGCAGAAGAGGAAAGUGGAAUUCCAUGUGUAGCGGUGAAAUGCGCAGAGAUGUGGAGGAACACCAGUGGCGAAGGCGACUUUCUGGUCUGUAACUGACGCUGAUGUGCGAAAGCGUGGGGAUCAAACAGGAUUAGAUACCCUGGUAGUCCACGCCGUAAACGAUGAGUGCUAAGUGUUAGGGGGUUUCCGCCCCUUAGUGCUGCAGCUAACGCAUUAAGCACUCCGCCUGGGGAGUACGACCGCAAGGUUGAAACUCAAAGGAAUUGACGGGGGCCCGCACAAGCGGUGGAGCAUGUGGUUUAAUUCGAAGCAACGCGAAGAACCUUACCAAAUCUUGACAUCCUUUGACAACUCUAGAGAUAGAGCCUUCCCCUUCGGGGGACAAAGUGACAGGUGGUGCAUGGUUGUCGUCAGCUCGUGUCGUGAGAUGUUGGGUUAAGUCCCGCAACGAGCGCAACCCUUAAGCUUAGUUGCCAUCAUUAAGUUGGGCACUCUAAGUUGACUGCCGGUGACAAACCGGAGGAAGGUGGGGAUGACGUCAAAUCAUCAUGCCCCUUAUGAUUUGGGCUACACACGUGCUACAAUGGACAAUACAAAGGGCAGCGAAACCGCGAGGUCAAGCAAAUCCCAUAAAGUUGUUCUCAGUUCGGAUUGUAGUCUGCAACUCGACUACAUGAAGCUGGAAUCGCUAGUAAUCGUAGAUCAGCAUGCUACGGUGAAUACGUUCCCGGGUCU
rnacentral:rRNA from 1 species